GCUUGGUUUCAAUGUUGUACCCAGUCCAGGGCGCGUAUAGAAAGGGCUCAAUGAAUGUUUGUUGAAUGAAUGGAUGAAUAAUUCAAAAAUCCAUUCUGCUAAACUUUUAUUUGAAGAUGGGUGUGGUUGCUAUUGUAGGAAUUCACAUUUGCUUUAGACUUGAAUGAUGCAAUCUUGGGGCACGAGGUACCACAAAUGAAGUUGCAUUUUCAGGCUCUCUGUCCAGCCCCUCGGCUUCCCCUCUCCUUCUCAUAAGCUGCUGGUAUCGCUGCCCAGUACAACACCAAUGCCAGCUACUUAGGAACACCCUACUUGGAACGUGCUGUCUUUUCUGCUAACCUCUGCCCCGAACGACUGGGAGGGGAAUCAUGUGCCAUAGUGUCAGGAGUAAUUCCCACUGCAGUUGGGAACCAGCUGCAGGGAGAGUAAGGAGGAACAGAGUUAGUGGUGUUAGAAGAAAACAUCAGUGUGAGAACUGAGUCUUUGGCAAGAUUAUCUGACUGCCUGGAAAGAAACCACUCAGAAGCAGGAGAUUUAGCACACGUGACCCACAGCCAGAAAAACAUCCAGGCCCCAGAUAAGGAAACCCAGAGACGUUUGGUGUCUUUCCCGAGGCCACACAACCAGCGAGUACCAUAGACAUCUUGCUCCGAUAACACACAGCUUCUUGCUGAACAACAUGUGCAAGAUAGAGUUAGGGGUGGGGGUGGGGGGCAGCGAGAUGCCCAGCCUCAGGUGGAAGCUGCCAGGAUCUUUGGUCAGCACUGCCAUGGGGUGCAAGGUAAGAGGGCACAGAGGGGAGAGCCAGGAGGGCAGAGGCAGCUGUUUCAGGAACCUCCUCCUGGGAGCCUUGGCUGAUGGCAGUGGCCCUGGAGGACCCUGCCGAAGUCACAUUUGAUGAACUGUGAUUGACCACAAUGGCCACCACUUGGUGAGACUUCAUCUUCCCUCUGGGUACAAUGCUCUGGACAGAAAGUCAGUGGACAUGAUCCUGGUCACCUCUCUCUCUAAUUUUGUUGUCCCCAACCAAGAGGAUCUGAUGACCUCUCAGCAACUUUCCGGCCUACCUUACAUUCAUCUCAAGCUUGGGGGCGCUGUCUCAGCCCCUAGCCCAGUGCCAGGCAAACCACCAGGAAGUCAGCGGGGCUGCCCAAGGUGUCUGACUCCCCGACUCUUUGGCCCCAUCUUUCUUUAUCCAGAGGAGGGGCCCUGGACCCUAAACUGGUUGAGAGGCAGUGCCUGUAGGUUCUGGCUGCCUGGGUGGGGAUGGAGUGGGCAGUGGAGGGGAGUUCCAGGGCAGAGAGCCCUUGAGGUCAGAGCCAGUGUGAUGGGGGUGUGAUGACACAGACCUUAGAGACAAGGUCCCCUGGGGUGCCCGCAGGAAUGAUCCAGAUGUGUCUCCCAGAUGUGUCCUCCACGCCAAACUGCUGACACUCCUUAAACUUGAAAGAUCUGCUCAAGCAUCGGAUCUGGAGGCAGGGCAGACAGGCUGGCUCGGCUUCCUUUUUUCUUUCUCCCGCGGGUGUGUGUGUGUCCUCACACUUUCAUCUCCUGUGUCCUCAGGGCCCUGCGCCCAGGUGCCUGUGGGAUAUUUACAGCUCCCUCGGUUGCCAAGGCACUGGGUUGAGCUCGGGGCGCUGGAGAGCAGGGCAUGAGGAGGGGGCCGCGUGGAGACUGGGUUCCUGACAAACAGGGACGAUAGCAUCUCUCCCACCUCUUCCCCCGGGAGCCUGCUUACCGAGGAGUUCAACCCGAGUCAUCUCUGCCGUCAGACGUACCUCCCUGUCUUGCAGAGAUAAACUCAUCACUCCCAGAGGCAGGUUGGGAGGUGAUGGAAGCGGGGGUGGG